UACAUUGUACUGGUGGACGAUACAUAAAGGGGUGUACGGAUCUUGUGUAUAUCCAUUCUGAGCUGCCUCGGUCGUCUCAUUACUCUUGUGUAUAGCCGUGUAGCCGACAAAACGUCGAGGAAAAUAUUUUCUGCUAUGAGCGGAAUCAAAGGGAAAACUGGAGGACCAACGAGAAAUUUGGGCCGAGAGGAGACGGUUGUUUCAUAAAUGUAGGUCGGUUACGAGAAAGAAGAACCAUUUUCUCUAGAAGCUGGCUAAGCCACGUGUAUCCACCGAGUUUGUUUGUCGCAGAAUCUCUGCUUUUCAUCUCUUGUUUCGUCAAAUUUUUUUUUUUUUUAGAAUUGAUCAAAACAAUCAAAAAAUACCUAAACUUUCUUUUCACUGCAAUUUCACCUCCAAUUUCCUCUUUUCCUUUUUUUAAUUAUACAACGUCGUAAUUUUAAAUUUUAUUGGACUCAACAACGUUAAGUUUUCGAAUAAUCUAAUCUAGCAGAGAAGAAGAACGAUAGAAACAGAAUCUUUCCAAAGUAUUCAAUAACGUUUCAAAUAUUCACACUUCGUUUCAGCUCGCCCACAGUGUUACAUACGCAUGAAAAUACAUAUAACAGUGUCAUUCUAGAGUUAAAUUUCCCUGAACUGCCUCAUCUUUUGCAUGUCAAAGCAGGAAAUUCAAUCGAACAAAGGAAAGAGCAUUUUCGACCCUGUACAUGAGCCUGCAAAGGGUGAAGACUCGGAAAAGAAACGGAAGAGGAAGAGGAAUGCGAGAGAUCCUCUUCCGUGAAAUACGGGUCACACUCGAGAGGAUAUGCAACGAUGGAAGAAAGCCCUGGAUAUUUCCAAUAACGAUUCGGCUCUAUCUGGAGCACCGGGUGGCUCGUUAUCGACGCCGAUUAUACUCGACUUUACCAAAGGAACAAGGCCUAUACAACCUGGAUACGUUCGGUUAUCCCCGAGGAGGGUUUUUAAUAAUAGCGAAACACGCAACAAUGCCCCGUAUCGGGCAAACCUGAUGCAACCGUAAUUUUUCCUCUCUCCUCUCUUUUUUCUUCUUCUAACGAUUCAGGUUGCAUCAGGUACAUUGGUGGACCCGGUUCGAUCGAUCUAUCGGUUUUUAGCGAAUGUCUAUUCAAUUUGCAUCGGUCGAAAGGGACUUGUUAUCAGACUUAUUAAAAAGCAUGAGAAACGAGGGACUUUAUCGAUGCAUUAUGAGCUUGUAAUGGAAACUGAAGUCGACAUCGAUUGUGAGGCAGAUAUUUCCGGUUCCAGGAAGCUUCCUUAUAAUUGUCCGAGGCUAAUAAUCGUAGGUUCAUAUAAUACUGCGAAUAUAGGCGAAGAAAUGUAAUAAUAAAAGAAAUUGAAUUAAACAUUCGUCGUAUUAUUAAAGAUAUUAAAUAGAUCCGAAGAGAGAACCCUGUUCGAAUUUGAUAUAUUAGUCGUUGGUAACUUGAACUAAAAGAUAUAUUUUGCGAAACGGUUCAGGCUCCGAAAACCUGGCCCAAACCGAAACGAUAUUUUACCCAUUAAUAAUCGAAAUAACUUUGAAGAGAAAUUUCACGAGCAGAGGAUGAAAAAUUGGAAAUCUUAACCGUAAGGCGGAAGUAUUACGA